rnacentral:lncRNA from 1 species
AUGAGACCUGCACGACGAUGAGAUGAUUAUCAAAUUUCAAAAUGGCCAACGAUAUGAAAUGGGGACAAUUUUUUACGAUCGAUUAUAAAAAAAUAAAAAAAAAGGGACAAAAAAUGAAGGACCUUUUAUGGCUCUUUGAAUAUUGAUCAAGCUGCUUCGUAUGCAGCUCAAUAAUUUAUUGAAACGACCCAUUUCCUGUACCAAUACGGUGUUCAUGCUUUGAUUGUAGGACACUGGAUAUUUUUCGAUCGCUACUUGAAGAUCAUAAUCCACUGGAAGUCUACUCAAAAUAUCAGCAGACACGUUAAAGACUAUCUCGUCGUUCGACAUCGCCCCAGUUCCAGUUUUAACCGUCUCCUGUUAAAGCGACAUCCUGCGUGUUAAAAAAAUAUGUGCGAAAACGUGAUUAAAAGUAAACAAUUAAACAAAUAAAUAAUUUAUAUGGAUAUAGUGUAUAUAUACGUACCAGACGAUCCUUAUAUUGGUGAGAAUUAAAUAAAUCAAUAUUAUUAUUAAAAUUAAAAUGAACGAUAGUGUAUUGCGAUCGAUUUUACCUGAGUUAAUAAAAGAGAAGAGAAAAGCAACGAAGUUUCGUGCUGAUCUUUAA